UUCACUCUAAUAAAAAGAAGGCAAAGGUUGAGGUGAACACUGCUGGCCAUUCAGUCUGCAUGGAAAUUUUGCCAUCAGUCACAGGAUGUAAUAUUUGGGAAUGAAUAGAGAAUAAUUUGUGCAUGACAGAUGAAGCAUGCUUUGCCGUGGAACCCCAGAUUCUACCCAGCAGGAUGCUUUUCGUUGCAGCUUGUGAUGAAUGCUGGGGUGCUGAGCACUGUCUGGUUGCCUCAAUGGAGCUUUGAUGCAUAGAAGGGAGUUGACAGCCCAGGGAGGUGAGUCCACAGGGUGGCGACUGGCUUCUGGGGAAAUGAAUAAGGACACAAGAACAGAACGCUUCUAAACCACACUCUUUCAAAGGGAGCAUGGAGGCAAAAAAUGAAGAAGACACGCCUGAGAAACUCCAAAUAAAGACCCAAGCCUAAAUAAUUCUACUUUACCCACGACCUGAGAAACAUAGUGCAGUCCCAAAUGCAGCAGAGCGGCUACGAUGAUUCCGAUGGCUGGCAGCAUCCUGCACUGCACUGCAAGGCAACGUGAAUCCUGGGCCAAAGGCAGGACCAGAAACCAUGGGGUAAACUUCCAUCAUGAACUAAUUAACGGUUUGCUGCUCUUUGCGCUUUCAAAAAAAAUGUCUGUUGAUUUUUUUU